rnacentral:rRNA from 1 species
UACGUAGGGGGCUAGCGUUGUCCGGAAUCAUUGGGCGUAAAGCGCGUGUAGGCGGUCCGGUAAGUCCGCUGUGAAAGUCGGGGGCUCAACCUUUGAACGCCGAUGGAUACUGCCGGGCUAGAGUCCGGAAGAGGCGAGUGGAAUUCCUGGUGUAGCGGUGGAAUGCGCAGAUAUCAGGAGGAACACCAAUAGCGAAGGCAGCUCGCUGGGACGGUACUGACGCUGAGGCGCGAAAGCGUGGGGAGCGAACAGG